UGACCUCGAAUCAGGUAGGGAUACCCGCUGAACUUAAGCAUAUCAAUAAGCGGAGGAAAAGAAACCAACAGGGAUUGCCCUAGUAACGGCGAGUGAAGCGGCAAUAGCUCAAAUUUGAAAUCUGGCUUCCUCAGAAGUCCGAGUUGUAAUUUGCAGAGGGCGCUUUGGCGUCGGUAGCGGUCUAAGUUCCUUGGAACAGGACGUCACAGAGGGUGAGAAUCCCGUACGUGGUCGACUACCUUCACCGUGUAAAGCCCCUUCGACGAGUCGAGUUGUUUGGGAAUGCAGCUCUAAAUGGGAGGUAAAUUUCUUCUAAAGCUAAAUACUGGCCAGAGACCGAUAGCGCACAAGUAGAGUGAUCGAAAGAUGAAAAGCACUUUGGAAAGAGAGUCAAACAGCACGUGAAAUUGUUGAAAGGGAAGCGCUUGCCGCCAGACGUGCCCGUGGUGGUUCUCCUCCACGGGCAGGCCAGCAUCAGUUUGGGCGAUCGGAUAAAGGCCUCUGUCAUGUAUCUCCCUUCGGGGUGACCUUAUAGGGGAGGCGUAAUGCGAUCAGCCUGGACUGAGGUCCGCGCAUCUGCUAGGAUGCUGGCGUAAUGGCUGUAA
rnacentral:rRNA from 1 species